rnacentral:lncRNA from 1 species
CCACCUUCAGUUCUGUUCAUCAGCACCAUCUUGUGGUCGACUCAGUUCUGGUUCUCCGCAUCACUUGGUUAAUUCACGUACCUAAAUGAAAUGCAUUAUGCACAUGAAUGCAUAUAGACAGGAAUAUUGCAAACCUAAAUAGUGUUACGCGAUAGCGAAUUAAACACCUAGCGGCGAGGUGUUGAACAAUUUCAUACGGAGACACUAAUUAUCGACGUACGACUAAGCGCAAUAAUCACGCUUCUCUAAAUUAAACGAACCUAACGCAAACAUCACGAAACAACAAACUAUACACAUUUAAUACAAUUAGCCUAAACACAACUUAUCAGUUAAUUAAUUAAAUUCUAAACUUAGUGGUCUAAGGAAUUUAAAUCUAGAAAAAGAAUAAAAACACAUCACUUUUUAGACCACGCGACUGGAUUAAAUUACAUACCACUCUAAGCUAUCAUAUAUAGCCUACCAUUAAUUUUAUCAAACAAUUAUAAUUCGUCAUAAGUAAUACUAAUAAUAUUAUUGUUUAGACAUUUUAAAAUACUAAAUUUAAACUUCAUUCAGUAAUUUACCAUACAUCACAUAUUUAACAUCUCAAACCUACCCAACACGACUACUCCAAAAUCACGAAAAUAAUCACGUCACAUUCAUCGAACUAAUUCAAUAAUUAAGCUAACGGAAAUAUGAAUCGGCUUACCUACUAAAUCUGACGCGCUAUCCGCGAGUACGGCAAGGAUUCUGGUUCAGCCCUUGUGUCGAGCACUUGGUGAAUAUCACGCUGCUAACUUCGUCUUCGCCCGACUCUUGGGAUUUCUUGACGACGCACGGAACGACGACGAGAUCGAGUCUAGAGCGAGCUGGCGAGGUGUGGUUGAGCAGGUUAGCGCGAGCUCUGGCGAGGAC